ensembl:lncRNA
CCCACUCCAGUACUCUUGCCUGGAAAAUCCCAUGGACGGAGGAGCCUGGUAGGCUGCAGUCCAUGGAGUCGCGACUGAGCGACUUCACUGUCACUUUUCACUUUCAUGUAUUGGAGAAGGAAAUGGCAACCCACUCCAGUGUUCUUGCCUGGAGAAUCCCAGGGAUGGCGGAGCCUGGUGGGCUGCCGUCUAUGGGGUCGCACAGAGUCAGACACGACUGAAGCGACUUAGCAGCAGCCGCAGCAGCCCUGCAGAGAAAGGAUGGCAGUGACUUUGUGGGUCUGCUCUCCAUCCCCCACUAAGCCUGCAUGAAAUGUCCCAGCUCCAAACGCAGCUUACACUUGACAGGGAGAACAACACUGGCAUCACGGGCCUCACCUCAGUCUUCGCCUCAACGACUCAUCAGUGUGUCCCUCAUCUGCACAACUCUGGCCCCUUUUUAUUUGGCCUCUAAAACCCCCAGAGCUCACCAUGCUGAAUAGCCCAGAUGCGGCCCUGAGGCUUUGUGUCGGCAGCAGGGCUAAGACGUCCUCCUCUGAGGACUGCCCCAGGGCCUGGCCAUCAGCCUGGGGAGCAGCCUGUUGGGGAUUUUCUCGCCGGGACUUGGAAAUGACGAACCUGAAAGAACAACACUUGGACAGUCUCUCGCAAGGACUGACAAGUUUAUUUCUGCAGUCAAGCCUUUUUUAUAGAAGCAGGAACAAAGAGCUUAGAGUAUACGGCCAGCAGAGCACGUACAGGGUUAAGACAUAAUCAGUAAAAGAUAUUUCAAGGACAGCGCGUUCUAAAUGACCCAUGUGUUUAUCCCAAUGACCCUUUUUCUCAAGCAACAUCC